GAUGAAGAACGUAUUGAAAUGCGAUACGUAAUGUGAAUUGCAGAAUUCAGUGAAUCAUCGAGUCUUUGAACGCACAUUGCGCCCCCUGGUAUUCCGGGGGGCAUGCCUGUCCGAGCGUCAUUGCUGCCCUCAAGCACGGCUUGUGUGUUGGGCCUCCGCCCCCCGGCUCCCGGGGGGCGGGCCCGAAAGGCAGCGGCGGCACCGCGUCCGGUCCUCGAGCGUAUGGGGCUUCGUCACCCGCUCUUGUAGGCCCGGCCGGCGCUUGCCGACACAUCAAUCUUUUUUCCAGGUUGACCUCGGAUCAGGUAGGGAUACCCGCUGAACUUAAGCAUAUCAAUAAGCGGAGGA
rnacentral:misc_RNA from 1 species